ACCAGCUAGCUCAGUCGGUAGAGCAUGAGAUUCUUAAUCUCAGGGUCGUGGGUUCAUGCCCCAUGCUGGGUG
rnacentral:tRNA from 1 species